UCCGCCGUCGCUAGGAUGUUGACAUCUUGGCUAAAUCGCCGCCGGAGUAGAUACUUGAUUGUGAUCCUGUUAAGCCCUUUUAUUUUUCCUUUAUUCUUCGCCACCUGUCCCCUCAUCUGCGCCGUUGAAAUAUGCUGCUUGGUGCGCCGGAAGCGGCGCACGGCGGACGCGGACGCCGGCGGCGGAGAUGGGUGGUGGAGCCGGGAAGGUGACGGUGGCGAUGAGGUGGGUUUGCUGCAGAGAUACCUGGAUGAUCAGCUGUCGCUCGUCGCUGGAUCGGUGUACGGGUGCGGCGGGGACGAUGAUGAGAAUGUGGGUGGAGAAGACGGGGUCGAUGUUGAAUAUUUUGAUAGUACGAGGCCUCUCUUGCAAUAGCUCAUAUUUGACUAUGUAAUAAACUUUGUACAUGGCUCUAGAGUUGGAAAAAAUACUGUAUAAUACAUAUUUUUCUAUAAUACAUAUUAAUUGCAAAUUGACCCUUCGUCUUUUAAUACUUUGUACUUCUCAUGCGAAAUAUAUACGUUUGUGCUUUGUUCAAUCUCUUUCUGAUGGGCCUUAGCCCAAAACAAUAAUAAACUUAAAUCCUAAUUUAAACACCCAAAUUUUAAUAAGUUUUAGCCCACUUAGACCCAUUUUAGCUAAUUAAGCAUUAAUUUAAGGCCCGAGCCAUUGGGGUAAACAAAAGUCAAAAUACACUUAACUACAUUGCAUUAUUUUAUAAUGAAAUGCUAUUUACUUUUUAUGUAUAAAGAAUUAGAUAUUCAAUUUCCGGAAAUUAGAUACUACAACUGGUUAUUUACACUGAUUAAAUAUAAACCGUAGAUCUACACAUAAUCACAGACAUAUGUGUAGUUUGUGUUUAGUCAAUAGUUAUUUAAUCAAAUUUACGAUUUGAAUCAACUCCGUAUAAAAUAAUCAUGUGUAAAAUCUAACUCCCCUCCAAUUUAACUAGUCACAUAAUUAAGCUAGGUUAGUUUAUAUAUAUCACAAAAUCAGAAAAAAAAAUCAAUGAAAAAAACAAAAAUAUAAACACAUGGGAGAUUUAAUUAUUUGCUAUUAUAGGAAAACAAUAGAAAUAUCCUAAUAAUUACAAAUUCCAUGGAAAAGGAAAUAAAUAAUAAAUAAAUAAAUAAAGGGAGUAAUUAUGGGCGUGCCCCAAACGUACUGUCACACUGCGUUCUCUUAAUCUACACGAUCGAAAAUCCUAAAAGGAGGAAAUUCAUACAUAGGACUAAUAAAAUCGAGUUAACACAUGAAAAUCUGAGUUCGAAUCGGUGCGUCAGAAAUUCGAUUUCUCUUUGAGAUCUGAAUUACCGAAAAAGCAAUCGAGGGAGAUAUAGAAGAACAUCCCAUUUUUUUUCAUAAUUGUGAGAUUUCCUGAUUCAGAUCCGAGGAAACCCUAUUCACCCAGAGGGAAUGGGCUACGCCGUCAGAUUUUUCUGCACAUUCGCUUUCUUCUUUUUGUUCUUCGUCUCCUCCACCCUCGGCAAGGUGAUAAGAAUAAUUCUAAUUUUCCGUAGUUUACUUCAGAAAGUUUCAUAUUUACGUGAAGUGGUUGUAGAUCUCAGUUUGAUGUGUGAUUCACUUCAAUCAAAACUUAGGUUUCUUAUUUUUAAUCUCUAAUUUUUUUAAUUUUUUUUAAUUUUGUGCAAUUGGUGAUGUGCCUUGUAAGAAAGAUGUUUUGAUUUGUGAUUUGUGAUUUGUGAUUUGUGACGGUAAUCUGAAAUGAUUGAUACCGGAUGACCUGAGAAUGAUUGGGAUUUAUAAUGUGAUCACUUGAUAAGAUCAAAAUGUUUAUAGAAAAUAGUACUGUUCGAGCUCCCUUUUUCUGUUUACCCGUUUCUUAUGCUGCUUCUUACAUUUGAACGGUAAAAGUUUCGUACAUGAUCUUGAAUUUUGACUGUUACUUGCAGAAAUUUUUGUUUCUGAAUUGUCUAAUGCUCAAAGUAUCAUUGCAUUUUGCCUUGUAAUUUGUUUACACGUCUUUGAACAAUCUGCAGUACCAAGAUGAUGAGGCCGUCACACUUUGGGUAAACAAGGUUGGCCCGUACAACAAUCCCCAAGAAACCUACAACUAUUACAGUCUCCCGUUUUGCCACCCACCUGGCAAUGCAGCUCACAAGUGGGGUGGGCUGGGUGAGGUUAUCGGAGGGAAUGAGCUUAUUGAUAGCCAAAUCGAAAUAAAAUUUAAGAGUAAUAUCCUAUUACUGCAUUUCUAUAGUCAUAUCUCCUUUCAAUACCCACACCUCCGCACUCACAUGUGGUUAACCCUUUUUUUAUAUUUCUUUUCUUGCAGGAGAUGUCACGAAGGCUAAAAUCUGUGAAAUCGAACUGGAAGCUGCAAAUGUUAAACAGUUUAAGGAUGCAAUUGAUAAUUCAUACUGGUUUGAAUUUUUUAUGGGUAUGUUUGCCAUUGGUCUAUUGCCAUUACAUUGCUCCAGAAUAACUCAAUCAAACUUUUGCUAAUAUAUUCUUUUUCAUUUUCACUUGGGUUCUCUGUUGCGCAUGGGCUUGCUUGUGAUCAGAUGAUUUGCCAUUGUGGGGUACGUCAAUAUAUUUAUACAAAUCUAGUUGCACCUUGGCUGUAUUCAACUUGUAUUGAAUUGCCACUUCUUUUGUGAAGGUUUUGUUGGUGAGGUGCUUCCUGAUAAAGCCCAUGAUAGUAAGCACGUACUUCUGACUCACAAGAAUCUUGUCAUUAACUACAACGGGGAUCAGGUGUGCUGCCGAGUAGAAGUUUUUUAUGCAUUAGUUUAUCCUGCAAGUUGUAAUAACUUCUCCAUUUUUAAUAGAAAACUUGGACUUGCAGAUUAUUCAUAUAAAUCUUACUCAAGAGAACCCCAGGCCACUUGAAGAAGGGCGGGUGUUGGAUAUGACCUACUCUGUCAAAUGGGUUCGAACUAACGUUACAUUUGCACGCCGUUUUGAUGUUUAUCUGGAUUACCCCUUUUUCGAGCACCAGGUAUAGUUAAAUUUUGCACAUACUCAUUGAUCAUUCUGGUAGAUAGAAGGGUAUCUACUUACAGAUCUUUUGCUCCAAAGAUGCUGGUAUUGAAGAUUGAAGGGGAAUUAUUGAAAGUUUUACCAACAAGUAGUGGUUAGCAUAUACUACUUGUUUGCUAUUUUAUCUCAGCCAUCACAUCAUCAAAGAGUUGUUUUUGCAGAUUCACUGGUUCUCUGUCUUCAAUUCUUUCAUGAUGGUAAUUUUCCUUACUGGUUUGGUGUCUAUGAUAUUGAUGCGUACGCUACGCAACGACUACGCUAAAUAUGCUCGGGAAGAUGAUGAUCUGGAAACUCUGGUAAUAAUUUAUAAAAUUUGUCUGGAGUGAAGUAAGACAUAUAUUUUGUAAGCUUGCUUAUAUAGAUCUUUUCAUGUUUAGGAACGGGAUGUGAGUGAAGAAUCUGGUUGGAAACUUGUCCAUGGUGAUGUGUUUCGUCCUUCCAAGAACCUGGCUCUACUUUCAGCUGUUGUUGGCACUGGUGCUCAGCUAGCAACACUUGUUCUGCUUGUCAUCAUUUUAGCAAUUGUUGGAAUGUUGUACAUAGGGUAUGCAUCAUUUUACCUCCGAUGUCAUUUAUCAUUGUGAAAUUGAUCAAGCUGGCUUGACAUAGCUCAAGUCUUAUUAUGCUUAGAAAUUGCCUUCGAUUGCAAAACUAUCCAUUUAUGUUUGUUAAUAGCCAAUAUGAUGUCCAAAAUCGUUCUUUACUGUGAUCUAAAUCUGGUUAAAUGAACAGAUCCUGAGAUAUUUAACAAUAGUCUUAACAACUCAGCUUGUCUUCAUAUUCUGUAUGAUAAGUCCUCUCUCAUUUUUUAUUCUUUUUUUCUGCUUACCGCUGCAAUUAUGUGAUUCAGGAGAGGAGCAAUUGUCACAACCUUUAUCGUAUGCUAUGCUUUUACAUCAUUUAUUGCUGGUUACGUGAGUGGUGGCAUGUAUUCCCGCCAUGGGGGUAUGUUCUCAUUUUAACUUCCACCUAAAAAAAACUAUUUCCUAUAAUUUCUCAAAGCUUAUUUUGCCAGUAGUCCUGUAAUCUUUAUAACUGACAGAUUAUUGUAUUCUUGUCAUCAUUGAUAGGUAAAACUUGGAUAAAGUCGAUGAUCCUUACCGCGUCACUGUUCCCCUUCAUGUGUUUCGGCAUUGGCUUCAUCUUGAACACAAUCGCCAUAUUUUAUGGUUCUCUAGCCGCCAUCCCCUUUGGUACCAUGGUGGUUGUUUUAGUCAUAUGGGCUUUUAUCUCUUUUCCCCUUGCACUUCUUGGUACUGUUGUGGGAAGAAAUUGGAGUGGUGCUCCAAACAAUCCAUGCCGAGUGAAGACAAUCCCUCGUCCGAUUCCUGAGAAGAAAUGGUAUCUUACGCCAUCUGUCGUCUCCCUCAUGGGAGGUCUGCUGCCUUUUGGAAGCAUUUUUAUUGAAAUGUAUUUUGUCUUCACCUCCUUCUGGAAUUACAAGGUAAUUUUUUUUUGUUUUUUUUUUUUUUUUUUGGUUUAAGGUAUUAUCUUUCUUUUGAUAACCGUGAAAAUGUUGGCCAUGUUUUAGUGUCGUAUUACACAGUGUGAGAGCUUGUAACUUUUGGCAUGUGUUUGGUGAACUGCUUAAAUGAAUCUUGAACAAUUUCAUAUCUUGUCCUAUUCUUGAGAAUUGCUUGAAACAGAACAUAUUAAAAGAACACAUAGAAACGACCGCUUGAAUGUUAUUGUACAAGUUUUACUGUAGGGUGUAAUUGACUUUUUCUCAAUUUCUCCUCAAGGGAGUAAGAUGUAAAUUCUUGAUUUUAUCUCGCUUACCUUACUUAAUUUUGUUGUUGUUGACAGGUGUACUAUGUGUAUGGUUUCAUGCUACUAGUGUUUGUGAUACUGAUCAUCGUCACCGUUUGCGUGACAAUUGUGGGGACGUAUUUCUUGCUGAAUGCCGAAAAUUAUCACUGGCAAUGGACUUCAUUCUUCUCUGCAGCCUCCACCUCGCUCUACGUGUACCUCUACUCUAUAUAUUACUAUUAUGUCAAGACUAAGAUGUCGGGUUUUUUCCAGACCAGCUUUUAUUUUGGAUACACUUUGAUGUUCUGCAUGGGUUUGGGAAUACUAUGUGGUAAGCUUUUUUGUCCAUCCUUUUUUCAUUUAAUCCUAGUCCAUAUAAUCAUCAAAGUUUAACAUAUUGUACCUCAAAAUUUCAGGUGCUGUCGGAUAUCUGGGAUCCAAUUUGUUUGUCCGAAGAAUCUACAGAAACAUCAAAUGUGACUAAAUUUUGGAGCCCUUUAUCGAAUUUCCCAUGAUAUAAUUUAGCAUCCCCGAUCUAGUAGGACAAUCGACCAGCUCUAAAGUAUUGCAUUCAAAAGCAAACCUAGGAAAUUUUCUGGCAGAGAUAGAAUGGAGGGAUAUCCGUGUUUCGCUGAAGUCUUCGACUGUUAACAAGAGAUGUUGCUUUACUCCAAUUUACGUAUUCGCAGAUACUUUUGCUGCCAAAAACAUCUCUGUGGCUUUGUAUAUUUUUGCUACAUAGGCAUUUGUUGAUUCACUAUGUUUCAUUAAUGGAGACCCUUUUUUGCAAUACUUUAUUUUCUUCCCACAAUAUUUUCAACCAUAUAAAUAUAUCCCUUGCUAAUAAGAUUUAUAUAUUUUCUCUAUGUCAAAGCUGCAUUUCUUUGUUAUGCUUUACAUCUAUCAAUAUAUUUGGUAUAAUUUGAUUAAAAUUUAAUACAUUUUCACAACAAAAAAAAGCAUUUAAAAUAUACAGAGCACAUCCAAAGGGUGAAAAGACCAGUUACAUAUCCAUGUCAUUUGUGAAACAUUCAAUACCUAACUAUCAACAAACAGUGAGUACAACCAAAAUCCGAGUGGGUUCGAAAUUAAAGAAACAACAGCUGCACAAAGAUAACAACGUAAUACAAGUCGACUACAAGUCAUUAUUACAAGAAUUAUCACGACACAAUAUGCAGACGCUGGCCGAGGUGAACAAGAUGCCAAGUGAGAGACAUGAGAGUGAAUACGUUGAGCAACGAAGAAUAAGAAUUCAACCGUUGAAGCAUUUGGCUCAAUCGGAUAAUCUGCGACUUCGCUACCGCUUCUUCCGAUUUCUCAGUCGACGAAACUCUGCCCACAGUUUCCGCAGUCGAAUCCACCACUCUGCCGCUAGGUAGUCCGCUCGCUUGCCCUUCUUUCACCGUUCCUUCUUCCUUCUCCUUCUUCAUCCUUUCAAGCAUCACCUAAACAUAGAGCACAAAAUACCCAACAAUCCAAAUCAAUUCAAGUACAUAAAAUCUCUUCACAACAUCGAAAAUUAAAUCAUACAAUGUAUCUUCUUACAAGAAGCAAUUUAUAGGCUCAAUCUCAUCAAGAAAGCUUAAUUCCAAUAAGCUUAGUGGGCCCCUUCAAAAUUUUAACAAGACCCGAAAAUUCGAUUAAUAAUCAACGAAAUUACGACACACAACUCACAAACCUUUGUUGCGCGAGGCUCCAAGUACAGUAAGUUGACCAAGAUCAUUGCAAGUGACGUCAUCAGAUUGAAGCCCUGAAACAUCCCCACACUAGUUGGAGACAACCUUUUCGUAUGACUCAUCAAAUGUCCAAAAAGUGCCAACCCCACACUGUAAGCCAUUGCCUUGAAAUACACUGGAUAUAUCUUGCUCUGCACAUUGGCAAACUGGUUUCUAGGCAGAGCCCCUGCCAGAACAUAACUCGAGGCGAAAGUAACCCACACACACAUCCCAUAAGCCGCCGCGAAUCCCAUCAGAUGCAAAAUUCCGGUCACCGGAGAAAGCCUAUCCGGCGAGAAUGCAUAGUCGAAUGCAUCCACCGCUACUUCUUGAGCUUUGUGAAUGAUUUCACUCAGCUCCCUUUCCCCUUCUUUUUUCACACUAUGUGCACUUUGUUUUGCUUUAUCUGAAGCCUUUUCAACCCAUUCUUCUGCAUCUUUCGCCUUUUCCGAAGCCAUUUCUUUAGCCCCUUCUUUCAUUUACAGUGGGCUUUUUUUUGGAAGCUUUUAUCCUCUGCAGUUUCUUUUUGCUUCAUGAACCUUUGGUCAUAGGGCUUUAUUGAGCUGGUGUGAGUAACCGUGUCCUUAACUUUUUGCAAUGGGCUUUCACCCAACCGCCUCCUUUGCCUCUUCCUCCACCUCGUAAACCUUAUCCGCCGCCUCGUGGGCUGUUUCCGCCACCGCCUCCUUUGUCUUACCCAGAGCACUCACGAUUUUAUGCUUACACUUUCCAUAUGCAUCACACACAAGCUCUCUAGCAUUAAAUCUGUGAUGAUUUUCUUCUUCUUGAUUUUGAUUCCGGUCUGCCUCUCCCACUUCGGGAAUAAUAGAAGAAGAAGCUUCUUUUAUUCCCUCUUUCGCAUUUUCCAUUCUCUCAGACAUUUUGUCAAGCACAUUGGAGGCAAACCCCUUUUCGCCAACUUUGUGGGGUGCCUGGGAAUCCUGCGGCGAGAUCGAAACCUUGGUGUUGCCGUCGUCUUUCUCGUACUCGACCACGAUCACUCUGUGACCUUCUUUCACUAUUACAUCAUCUUUCAAUUUCUGGUUUUCCGGGCUCGGAGUGAAAAAACCUGCAGUUACCAGAGACGUCAACACGAGACCUAGCGCCAAAACAUUCAUCAUCUUUUUUUUUCUUUUUUACCCUGUGUUAGAAAGAACUGGUGAAUUUUUUUUUUUUUUAAGAUCGGUGAUUUUCUUUGAAUUGGUAAGGACAAUCUGCAUGAAUUAUGGGGAGUAAUUGGUUAAUUGAGUUGUCUGGGACUCUGAUAAAUGGCCACGUGGUAUGAUGGAUUGUACAUGCAACACGUGGUUCGCCGCAUGUUCAUGCAGAAUUCUACGUGGCAGUUCAUGGUUUAGCGGUUACCUGAUUGGAGCAAGUAAUCAAAGAAAAGCCCUAAAGAAAUCAAAGAAAGCCCAACCCAAAUUAUCAAAUUGGGCUAUAUAUUGUUAACAAAAAGCUACAAGCUUUCAAUUUUGGGCUGCCCAUAUAAAUUUGGAACCCUAGAACACCAAAAAAGAAGAUUUUUUUUUUUUUUUUUAAAUAAAUAAUAAGAAUGGGAAAAUUUCACCUAUUUUAGGGCAUGUAUAAAUUAGGGUAAAUACACUUAACUUUCUGUGGCCUGAGCUUUGUGUACUUAACUCCCUUGUACUCUUAAUAUAAGCAUAUGACGUACUGUAGUUUGAACUUUGUGCAAAUGACUCCCUUAUACUUUUAAUAUAUGCACAUAACUUUUCAUGGUAUUCCACUCGAUAAAUAAUCAUGCUCGUUACUAAAAUGCAAUUUUUAAACGGUCAAGGAGGUUAUUUACUUGUAUUAUAAUAUAAAGACGUCAUAUAUUAUAUUGCAAGUAUAAGGGAUUAUGUGUACAAAGUUCAAACUGCAAGGGUAAACGCAUUUUAUCCCAUGAAUUAGUAAAAAGAAACAAGAUUUAGCAUUGAAACACCAUAAACUAGGAACAAGGGAACUGAAUGAAUCUUUGUCUAAGGAAUCUUUUCAACACAUAUAAAUAUAAGUAAAAUAAAAUAAAAUACAUGGACUACUAAUAAUUACCUCGGGGGCAUCUAAUAUAUACCCUUGGAUUUAAUAAUUGAGGAUAAAUUUACUGCAGGUGUGUAAGUGUAAUUAAUUUAAUUUAUAGGGACUUGUAUACUUCUCCUUGAUUAUGAUGAUGACCAUAUAAUCAAUUAAUAUACCAUGUGUGUUUGUGUGUGAGAGACACUAAUAUAAUAAUUGAAUUAAAUAACAAUCAAUUGAUGCCACGAGAGAAUUCAAUUGAACUCCUUUUUUAGUUAAACUAAGCACAAUUUGACAAAGAGGUUGUCCAUUCAACUAUUAAUUAUACUUGCAUUUUGCACGCUCACAUUAAUUAAUUAUGUUGAAAUAAGAAAGAUAAGUAGUUCAUAAGAGAAUUAAAGUAUUAAAUCGAACGAAUCAGAUCAAAAUUGGAAAGAUUUCCAUCUGAUAUACGGGCUUUGUGUGCGAGUGGCCAUUCAUUUUCGGUUGGACAAUCUCGGGUAGAAAUGACCUAACGAGCCAAGUUCUUGAUAAAUUCAUUUGGGUCCAUAAUCCAACAUGAUAAAGCGACAUAUAUAACUGAAAAAACAAAAUAUAAAAAAUAAGGUAAUAUUAAAAAGAAAAUAUUGAGUAUUUAUUGUAUAAUAUCAAACAUAUGAUAUGCUAUCACUACAACAAUUUUUAACAAACACUUGUAUAAUUACACACAUUUAUUUAUAUCCUAGGAUAAUCCAAACACAUCUGCAAGAGAUUUAAAAAAAUAUAUAUAUAGAAAAAAAGGGUUGGGGUCACCUUUCAAAUUUAAUUUAAUUGUUUGGCGAUUCCAAAGUCAGGAGUAAAAUAAAUUAACUUGUCAGUGGGCCCCACUUGUCAAGUAUUGUGGGGCCCAAAUCAAUCAGACAAAAAAAAAACAAAUGGGCCGCAGUCUUGGGUGGGUCCCCACCACCACUUAAACCCCACAUAUCUCUGCUCCUUGAUUCUGACGCACACAGCACACACACACACAGUACACUGUCUCUCGUCGGCUGUCAAACAUUUUAUUUUAAAAAAUAAAUAAAUAAAAAAGAUCUGGUUUUUAUCACCGAUUUCUUUUGCUAUUAUGGGGGCAUUAUUAAUUAAUUAAAUAAUUAGUUAAUAUUAUUGCGUGUAUCUGUUGACUGCGUUUUCUGCAUAUGUUUUUUAUUGAUUCAUUUUCUGUCUCUUUCAUCCAUCUCCCCCUGUUUGCUAACAGAGUAGAGAGAGAAAGAGUAGAAAGAGAAAGAAGAGAGAGAGAGAGAGGAUAUGAAUGAAAGGAAAUAAAGAAUGAGUUGAUGUUUCCUUUUUGAGGCCACACCAUUUUUCACACACUUGUGUUUUCUCCUCUGACUUUCAUCAUCGUCAUCAUCAUCUCUUUCUCACUCUAAAAAGCUGUGACCUUUCAAGAUCUGCGCACUCUCUCCUCUCUCUCUCAGGUUUGUUUUCACCUUCAACUGUGUGUUUAUAUGUGCUUUCUGUUUGUGAUAAUGGCCGCCGAGCUUUUUCAUCAGCUCUCUUCUUCUCCCGAAAUUUGAGAUGAGACUCCAUUGUUUGGCAGUCAGAUUCAACAAUUUCUCUGUUUUAGGGUUUCAAACGUUCAAGCCUGAGAAUUAUCUGUUAGGGUUUUUUGAUCUGUCUUUUUUUUUUUAUUGCAGAUCUAUGUUGUUGAGUAUGUUUUUAAUGUUUAAUGAUUCAGUUUGAUGAAACUUCUCUCUGUUUCAUAUUGUCCUUACAAAUUAUGCAGGUGUUUUUAAUACAUCAUAAAACAUGAAAUUUGAGCAAGUUUUUGAUGAAUUAGUGUCCGCAAACACCAAACACGGUUCAUCUUCACCUCUGUUCUUCGAUGACAAUUCGAAAUCUCACGAAACCGACACGCAAUCGGUGAAGAGUGAAAUUAGCACGGAGGGGAAUCAAAGUAUCGAAAUGGGUACAACGAAGAAACAUUUGAAUCAUUUAAACUCCCCUGAAGAUGGCUUAGUAAACACCGAAUCAUCCUCGUCGAACUCAUUAUCUGUCGUUGUUCGAUCGCCUGUUUCGAAUCACAGCUAUCAAGAAACCUGCAAAGAUGCUUACUCGUUCAAGAACCGUGGUAGUUCGAUGGAUAGUUCUAACUCUAAAGCAUUCGAUUUCAGCUUAGAUGAACUGAUGACAGCUAAUUCUGAAUCGGGCUUAUCCGCUCAAAUUGCUCGUAAAGCUAUGAGAAAUGUGAGAACUAGAAAUAGAAUGAAGGUUACUUCCAUGGCUGAAAACGAUAAUACCUCACUGCUCACUAAGAAGGGAGAUAUCGAGAUUUUAAGUUCGGUUUCUUCUGAUAACUUUUGCGCGAAUGAAUCUUCGGAUUUUUCGAUGAAAAAACCUCGGAAAGUUGAUAUGGGAUUUGAUCUCAACGAGGACACGAACGCAGAUGAAAUGGAUGAUUGUAUUAAGCCUUGUCAUGGUGCGAUACGUGUUGUGGCGAAACCCGGGAUUCUGAGUGGCAGGCCUGUAUUUCCGUUGAAGUUUGAGGGCGUUCUCGGCUGGAAGGGCCAUUCUGAAACAAGUGCUUUUCGCCCCACUGUGAGUUCGCAUAGAAAAACAUGUUCUACGGGAAUCGACCUCAAUGUGGCUGCUGCUGUAGAAGAUGUAAUACCUUUGCCUUCCGUUUUUCAAGAUUCUGAAAAAAAGGAUAAGGGGAGCUUAUUGAUCGAUCUCAAUUGCAUUUACGAUGCUGCUGCUGAUGAAUAUACUCAGCCCAAAUCGGAAUAUUCCCCUUUGAUUGACUUGAAUUUGAAUGCCAAUACAUCGGUAGUAGACAAAUCGUCCAAUAAACGAGCUUUUGAUUAUAGCAUGCAGCAUUGUGGACCGAUGGAACUGAUGCAGAGAGUACCAACAUUACCCUUGGUAUCAAAUACUUCAACCCCGUUUAGUUACUCUUCUAAUGGCCCGUUCCAUUUUAGUUCGGGGGAUCCUCUGCCAGCUGGCGCAUUGCCCUACGCCAGAUUCACUUACGAACAAGGGAUUUUGCCUCGAAUAUUUAACUCGGGCCCACUUCACACGUCUUUUGGCAGCCCUAAUCACAUGCAGGUUGCUCAUGAACCAACAAGGAUGGAUGUGAGUAGAGAAUUCUCGUUUCUUGAUAAAAAUUCGUCAAUGGGCGAACGAGCAAAGAGAAACGAGCCUGAAGGAGGAUUUGGUUGUUACUACAAACAGAUGACUUGAAGACUGAGGGCGAAUUUUAGGCGCAUUUUAAUUUGUCGUUUCGAUUUUUAUAAUCGCUACUUCGGUUUUUUUUUUUCCUAUUUUUUGAUCAAGUUAUUAACCCUUUUGAACACUUGCUCGACAAAAGAUUAGGAGGUUCGAUUAUUCUCGGGGUCGAGCUUGCUGUUUGAUAUUUCAUUCUUCCUCGUAAGCUUUAAGUUGAUAGGCUUCAAAAUUUUGUAUAUGGCACAUUUCAUUUCUGAUAAUAGAUGUAGAACACAUUUGACAUUUCAUUUUGUUUUCGUGUAUGUCGAACGGUUA
rnacentral:lncRNA from 1 species